rnacentral:rRNA from 1 species
AGGGUUCGAUUCUGGCUCAGGAUGAACGCUGGCGGCGUGCUUAACACAUGCAAGUCGAACGGGAUCCCAGGAGCUUGCUCCUGGGUGAGAGUGGCGAACGGGUGAGUAAUGCGUGACCGACCUGCCCCAUACACCGGAAUAGCUCCUGGAAACGGGUGGUAAUGCCGGAUGCUCCAGUUGGAUGCAUGUCCUUCUGGGAAAGAUUCAUCGGUAUGGGAUGGGGUCGCGUCCUAUCAGCUUGAUGGCGGGGUAACGGCCCACCAUGGCUUCGACGGGUAGCCGGCCUGAGAGGGCGACCGGCCACAUUGGGACUGAGAUACGGCCCAGACUCCUACGGGAGGCAGCAGUGGGGAAUAUUGCACAAUGGGCGCAAGCCUGAUGCAGCGACGCCGCGUGCGGGAUGACGGCCUUCGGGUUGUAAACCGCUUUUGACUGGGAGCAAGCCCUUCGGGGUGAGUGUACCUUUCGAAUAAGCACCGGCUAACUACGUGCCAGCAGCCGCGGUAAUACGUAGGGUGCAAGCGUUAUCCGGAAUUAUUGGGCGUAAAGGGCUCGUAGGCGGUUCGUCGCGUCCGGUGUGAAAGUCCAUCGCUUAACGGUGGAUCCGCGCCGGGUACGGGCGGGCUUGAGUGCGGUAGGGGAGACUGGAAUUCCCGGUGUAACGGUGGAAUGUGUAGAUAUCGGGAAGAACACCAAUGGCGAAGGCAGGUCUCUGGGCCGUCACUGACGCUGAGGAGCGAAAGCGUGGGGAGCGAACAGGAUUAGAUACCCUGGUAGUCCACGCCGUAAACGAUGAGUGCUAGGUGU